rnacentral:rRNA from 1 species
GAUGAACGCUGGCGGCGUGCCUAAUACAUGCAAGUCGAGCGAACAGACGAGGAGCUUGCUCCUCUGACGUUAGCGGCGGACGGGUGAGUAACACGUGGAUAACCUACCUAUAAGACUGGGAUAACUUCGGGAAACCGGAGCUAAUACCGGAUAAUAUAUUGAACCGCAUGGUUCAAUAGUGAAAGACGGUUUUGCUGUCACUUAUAGAUGGAUCCGCGCCGCAUUAGCUAGUUGGUACGGUAACGGCUUACCAAGGCAACGAUGCGUAGCCGACCUGAGAGGGUGAUAGGCCACACUGGAACUGGGACAGGGUCCAGACUCCUACGGGAGGCAGCAGUAGGGAAUCUUCCGCAAUGGGCGAAAGCCUGACGGAGCAACGCCGCGUGAGUGAUGAAGGUCUUCGGAUCGUAAAACUCUGUUAUUAGGGAAGAACAAAUGUGUAAGUAACUAUGCACGUCUUGACGGUACCUAAUCAGAAAGCCACGGCUAACUACGUG